rnacentral:tRNA from 1 species
UCCCUGAUGGUUCAGUGGCUAAGUGUCUGCACUUACAAUGCAGGGGGCCCAGGUUCGACCCCUAAUCAGGGAA